rnacentral:rRNA from 1 species
UACAGAGGGGGCAAGCGUUGUUCGGAAUUACUGGGCGUAAAGGGCGCGUAGGCGGCCUGUUAAGUCGAACGUGAAAUCCCCGGGCUCAACCCGGGAACUGCGUCCGAUACUGGCAGGCUUGAAUCCGGGAGAGGGAUGCGGAAUUCCACGUGUAGCGGUGAAAUGCGUAGAGAUGUGGAGGAACACCAGUGGCGAAGGCGGUUCUCUGGGCCUGAUACUGACGCUGAGGAGCGAAAGCGUGGGGAGCGAACAGG